GUAGAGGCGAAAAUAAGUACUACAUUGAAAAAGAGAACAAUAUCUUUUAUGCACAUUGCCUCGUCUUUUGGAAUUGACCACUAACAUGUCUACUGGUCUUCAGAUUCUGUUCUUCAUUAAGACUUUUGCAUAAUUUCCAUAAAAUAUUUUAAUCUUAUGAUUAAAAUACUAGUAAAAAUCUUUAAUAACUCCCUAUUUUUUAAAAUAAAAGAAAUGCUCUGCUUUAAAUUGAUAUUAAAAGUACUUUAUAUUUGGAUGCUAAACAUUUAUCUCAUACUAUGGUGCAGGGGCUGAUUUUCUGCAACCAAACUGAUCUUUCCACGUAUCUCAAUUAUGCCCUGCUCAGGCCACAUCUAUUUGCUCAUGUGGUUCCCUUUCCUGAAAAAAAAAAAGUGUUAGUCUACUGUUAUAUAUUCUUUUUACUUUUCAUGAAAUCCUCUUAAACUACUCUGUUAAACAUUUCUAGAACUGAAGGAAUCAUGUAUUAUGUUCAUUUGGUAUCUCACCUAUAUUUAUCCUACUACAUGAUCUAUAAGAAAUCAUGUUGAAUUUAAUUAGACAGUGAUAGAAGCUAGUUUAAGGGAUUUCCCCUGAGUUGCUCCCCAGAACAGCUUGCUUUGGUCUCAGAAUUAACAAAAUUGCAUAAUUAUUUUCUGUGUUCUUUUUCUUUUUUUUCUUUUUGCCACGAUGCUUUGCCAUUAUAUUUUUCUUGUUAUAAACAUUCUUCUCAAAGUUCUGCACGAAUACAUACAUAAUGAAGUUUUUUUUUUCUUUUUUCUUUUCUUUUUUUUUUUUUUUUGUUGACGGAGUCUCGCUCUGUGCCCAGGCUGGAGUGCAGUGGCGCCAUCUGGGCUCAUUGCAGCUCCGCUUCCCGGGUUCUCGCCAUUCUCCUGCCUCAAACUCCCGAGUAGCUGGGACUACAGGCGCCCGCUAACAUGCCUGGCUAAUUUUUUUUUUUUUUUUUUUUUUUGUAGAGACGGGGUUUCACCGUGUGUUAGCCAGGAUGGUCAGGAUCUCCUCACCUCGUGAUCCGCCCGCCUCGGCCUUCCAAAGUGCUGGGAUUACAGGCGUGAGCCACCGCGCCCGGCAAUAAUGAAGUUCUUAUGAAGUCAAAGCCAGGUUAGAAGUUAUUUAUUUAUGUUUGAGUUUUCAAGCAAAGACCAAAGUGUCAUUUUUUAAAGCAUGGCUUGCUUCUACACAGAGGUAUGGCAAUUUCAGAGUCAUUCCUUCGGCCAGAAAACUCAUUGCUCAUACCUUAUCUUGUAGCCAUAAUAGCUAUCAUUCCAGUGGAAAAAAUUUUCAGGAAUUGCAUUUACUUGCCAAGACAGCUACCUACUUCAUCAGAUGAAGUUUUUGAGUAACUUUUAAAGUUCUCAUUCCAUUAUUGCCACAUAGAAAAAGAAACUAAAGAUAGAAAUCUCAGUUAAAAAAAAGCCGUUCAAAAGUCAAACUAGAAUCCCAGCUUCACUAGCUCAACAUGUACUAAACUGAGAUGUGUGGAAACUUAGCGGGGAAGGUUAAUAUAACCAUGGAGCACUUUAGCUUUUUUUUUUUUUUUCUUCUUUUUUUGAGACAGGGUCUCUCUCUGUCGUCCAGGCUGGAGUGCAGUGGCGUGAUCCUGGCUCACUGCAACCUCUGCCUCCUGGGUUCAAGCAAUUCUUCUGCCUCAGCCUCCUGAGUAGCUGGGACUACAGGCGCCACCACCAUGACUGGCUAAUUUUUGUAUUUUUAGUAGAGACAGAUUUUACCAUGUUGGCCAGGCUGGUCUCGAACUCCUGACCUCAAGUGAUCCUCCCACCUUGGCCUCCCAAAGUGCUGGGAUUACAGGCGUGAGCCACUGUGCCAGGCUAUCACUUUAGCUUUAUGAUCAAAUAUUGAUGUUUCCUGUGCCAAUGUAGAAAAAAUGAAAGUUUCUAAGGAGAAAAAGAAUGCAAAAGAACUAUGAAAGAAAUCAUGUGGAAAGUUCUUGAGGAUCAAGAUUUCCAAAGAGAGAGAAAAAGGUUUAGCAAAUUGUAAAGUAAAUGAGAGUAUGGCAUGUGCAAAGCCAAUGAUAGUGAUGAAGGUAUUAAUUAAAGCAUCUUAAUUUUUGGCCAGGAAAAGAGAACACUAAUAAUUAUCAGUAUGAAGUCUUUCGAUGCAGUACGUUAAAGUGCCCAGAAUGGAAUCAAGGUGAAUUGAUCAAUUGUUUUAACACAAUUGAAAAUGUGGUGUAAGAGUUCAUUAUGAAACUGGGUAAAAUAUAUAACAACUUUCUUUUACUUUAUGAUAGAGUAUACAGGAUUAUGCUUUUCAUGUCAUAAAAUUUAUAUCACAUUCUAAGCUUUAUUAGGUAUAAUUUAGCCACCCCCAUCCUGUAUUUCCUUCCUUCCUUCCUUCCUUCCUGCCUUCCUUCCUUCCCUCCUUCCUUCCAUCUCACCUUCCUUUCUUCCUUUUUUCUUCCUCUCUUUUUUCCUUCCCUCCUUUCCUCCUUCCUUACUUUUUAUGCUAAGUAAAUUUGUAAUGUUACCUUUUUUUCCUGCUUGGAAGGCCCUGUGAACUUUGUUUUCCAUUUCUGAGAUAAAGAUACUUAGUACAUUUAAGGAGUAGAGGUUUGAAAUUAACAUUACAUUAAGGCCUAUCUUUAAAGUGACAACUCUGCCACUCUGGAGUGACUUUAGUUUUAGAGACCUCCUGCUUGCCGGUAAGAAUGCUUUACGAUGCUUGAAUUUCGAAGCAGGGAAAAGGGAUUCGAUUUCGAUUGCUUUAGCAAUUCUUGCUCCCAGGGAAGGUCCUCAAAUUUAUUCUCACUGUGCUGAGUUUAUUUUAGAAUUUAUUUUAAUACAUAAACACAAAAGAGACCUAAUAAAUAUUCUUAUCUUAAUUUACCAGCAAAGUUGCAUCAGUGUGAAAAAUAUGCCCUGUACUUGAUGUUUUGCUUGACACUGAAAUGUGAGAAAGCAUGUGGCUGUGCUAGGGCAAUUUAAGAAAUUCUAUUUAACAAGUCAUAAAGAAAACAAACAUGAAAAAACGAUAAAAUGGGAACAUUUUGGAGACUAUUUGAUAUGGUUCGACUGUGUCCCCACUCAAAUCUCAUCUUGAAUUGUAGCUCCCAUAAUCCCCACAUGUUGUGGGAGGGACCCGAUGGGAGGUAAUUGAAUCAUGGGGGCUGGUUUUUCCCCUGCUGUUCUCAUGAUAGUGUAUAAGUCUCACAAGAUCUGAUGGUUUUAUAAAGGGCAGUUCCCCUGCACAUGCUCUCUUGCCUGCUGCCAUGUAAGAUGUGCCUCUUCUCCUCCUUCAUCUUCUGCCAUGAUUGUGAGGCUUCUCCAGCCAUAUGGUACUGUGAGUCCAUUAAAUCUCCUUUUCUUUAUAAAUUACCCAGUCUUGGGUAUUUCUUCAUAGCAGUAUAAAAAUGACUAAUACACCAUUUUAGGAAAAAAGCAGCAAGGUACAAUUUUCAAUGUAAAGUUACAUAGAAGUUAUAUACACGUGCAAUACAAGUUACAUAUUAAAUAUAACACACAGUCUUCCACUGGCAUUUUGGGAGGAGGAGGCAGUAUGUAGUAGCAGACAACCUGGUUGGUUCAAGAACUUAGUUUUGGCUAAGUUUUGAAUCCUGCCCUGCUACUUGGCAGUUGAAUAAUCUUGGUUAAUAAAUCUCUCUAUCUUCAAUUUCUGAUCUUCAAUUUCUGAAAUUGUUUUACCUCUGUGUAGAAGCCAUGAUUUAAAAAAAUAUCACUUUGCUUGUUGCUUGAAAACUUAAUUUCUUUCUGUAUAUUACUAGGUGCAUACUCAGCCAAUGGUGGCUAUUAGGACAAUC
rnacentral:lncRNA from 1 species